GACGUAGGGGGCAAGCGUUGUCCGGAAUUACUGGGCGUAAAGCGUGCGCAGGCGGUUCGUUGUGUCGGCGGGGAAAGCCCCGGGCUUAACCUGGGAAUGGCCGUUGAAACUGGCGAACUGGAGUGUGGCAGAGGGGGGUGGAAUUCCGCGUGUAGCAGUGAAAUGCGUAGAGAUGCGGAGGAACACCGAUGGCGAAGGCAGCCCCCUGGGCUAACACUGACGCUCAGGCACGAAAGCGUGGGGAGCAAACAGG
rnacentral:rRNA from 1 species